UACAGAGGGGGCAAGCGUUGUUCGGAAUUACUGGGCGUAAAGGGCGCGUAGGCGGCCUUCUAAGUCGAACGUGAAAUCCCCGGGCUCAACCCGGGAACUGCGUUCGAUACUGGAAGGCUUGAAUCCGGGAGAGGGAUGCGGAAUUCCAGGUGUAGCGGUGAAAUGCGUAGAUAUCUGGAGGAACACCGGUGGCGAAGGCGGCAUCCUGGACCGGCAUUGACGCUGAGGCGCGAAAGCCAGGGGAGCAAACGGG
rnacentral:rRNA from 1 species